rnacentral:lncRNA from 1 species
GGGGUUUUCUGAUAGGAUGAGGGUGAAACGCAUCCUCUUGUUCCCACAGCGUUCCCCUAAUUCCGGGGGCUGAGUUUAUUGAUCGUUCAAGCAUCUUCUUUUGUGACGGGACCGCUGAUGUCCUUGACUCAAAGAUGUUAAAAAUACGUUUAGAAGGAUCUUUAUUUUUUCCUGCUGCUGUACGAGGCACCCUUUCUGGCCCCGUGUUUCCUUGCCCUUCUUUCCAGCAGCAGAUUUUACUCAGAACAACUUCAGUGCUG